rnacentral:tRNA from 1 species
GUCCCGUUCGUCUAGUGGCCCAGGACAUCUCCCUCUCACGGAGAAGAUCAGGGGUUCGACUCCCCUACGGGAUA